CGGCGAGUGAAGCGGCAACAGCUCAAAUUUGAAAUCUGGCUACAUUCCGUGGUCCGAGUUGUAAUUUGUAGAGGAUGCUUUUGGUGAGGUGCCUUCCGAGUUCCCUGGAACGGGACGCCAUAGAGGGUGAGAGCCCCGUACGGUUGGAUACCAAACCUCUGUAUAGCUCCUUCAACGAGUCGAGUAGUUUGGGAAUGCUGCUCUAAAUGGGAGGUAUAUCUCUUCUAAAGCUAAAUAUAGGCUAGAGACCGAUAGCGCACAAGUAGAGUGAUCGAAAGAUGAAAAGCACUUUGAAAAGAGAGUUAAACAGCACGUGAAAUUGUUGAAAGGGAAGCGCCUAUGACCAGACUUGUUUCUGGCAGUUUCGUUAGCCCUCGGGCUGAUUUACUCUGUCCAGUACAGGCCAGCAUCAGUUUGCUGUCGGGGAGAAAGGCUCUGGGAACGUAGCUCCCCCCUUCUGGGGGGAGUGUUAUAGCCCUCUGCAUAAUACCCUUUGGCAGACUGAGGACCGCGCUUCGGCAAGGAUGCUGGCGUAAUGGUCAUCAGCGACCCGUCUUGAAACACGGACCAAGGAGUCAACCUUAUGUGCGAGUGUUUGGGUGUAAAACCCCAGCGCGUAAUGAAAGUGAACGUAGGUGAGAGCUUCGGCGCAUCAUCGACCGAUUCUGAUGUUUUCGGAUGGAUUUGAGUAAGAGCACACAGGGUUGGACCCGAAAGAAGGUGAACUAUGCUUGUAUAGGGUGAAGCCAGAGGAAACUCUGGUGGAGGCUCGCAGCGGUUCUGACGUGCAAAUCGAUCGUCAAAUAUGAGCAUGGGGGCGAAAG
rnacentral:rRNA from 1 species